rnacentral:rRNA from 1 species
GAUGAACGCUAGCGACAGGCUUAACACAUGCAAGUCGAGGGGCAGCGGGGGUAGCGAUACCCGCCGGCGACCGGCGCACGGGUGAGUAACGCGUAUGCAACUUGCCUAUCAGAGGGGGAUAACCCGGCGAAAGUCGGACUAAUACCGCAUGAAGCAGGGGCCCCGCAUGGGGAUAUUUGCUAAAGAUUCAUCGCUGAUAGAUAGGCAUGCGUUCCAUUAGGCAGUUGGCGGGGUAACGGCCCACCAAACCGACGAUGGAUAGGGGUUCUGAGAGGAAGGUCCCCCACAUUGGUACUGAGACACGGACCAAACUCCUACGGGAGGCAGCAGUGAGGAAUAUUGGUCAAUGGCCGAGAGGCUGAACCAGCCAAGUCGCGUGAGGGAUGAAGGUUCUAUGGAUCGUAAACCUCUUUUAUAAGGGAAUAAAGUGCGGGACGUGUCCCGUUUUGUAUGUACCUUAUGAAUAAGGAUCGGCUAACUCCGUGCCAGCAGCCGCGGUAAUACGGAGGAUCCGAGCGUUAUCCGGAUUUAUUGGGUUUAAAGGGUGCGUAGGCGGCCUUUUAAGUCAGCGGUGAAAGUCUGUGGCUCAACCAUAGAAUUGCCGUUGAAACUGGGGGGCUUGAGUAUGUUUGAGGCAGGCGGAAUGCGUGGUGUAGCGGUGAAAUGCAUAGAUAUCACGCAGAACCCCGAUUGCGAAGGCAGCCUGCCAAGCCAUUACUGACGCUGAUGCACGAAAGCGUGGGGAUCAAACAGGAUUAGAUACCCUGGUAGUCCACGCAGUAAACGAUGAUCACUAGCUGUUUGCGAUACACUGUAAGCGGCACAGCGAAAGCGUUAAGUGAUCCACCUGGGGAGUACGCCGGCAACGGUGAAACUCAAAGGAAUUGACGGGGGCCCGCACAAGCGGAGGAACAUGUGGUUUAAUUCGAUGAUACGCGAGGAACCUUACCCGGGUUUGAACGCAUUCGGACCGAGGUGGAAACACCUUUUCUAGCAAUAGCCGUUUGCGAGGUGCUGCAUGGUUGUCGUCAGCUCGUGCCGUGAGGUGUCGGCUUAAGUGCCAUAACGAGCGCAACCCUUGCCACUAGUUACUAACAGGUAAAGCUGAGGACUCUGGUGGGACUGCCAGCGUAAGCUGCGAGGAAGGCGGGGAUGACGUCAAAUCAGCACGGCCCUUACAUCCGGGGCGACACACGUGUUACAAUGGCGUGGACAAAGGGAAGCCACCUGGCGACAGGGAGUGAAUCCCCAAACCACGUCUCAGUUCGGAUCGGAGUCUGCAACCCGACUCCGUGAAGCUGGAUUCGCUAGUAAUCGCGCAUCAGCCAUGGCGCGGUGAAUACGUUCCCGGGCCUUGUACACACCGCCCGUCAAGCCAUGGGAGCCGGGGGUACCUGAAGUCCGUAACCGCGAGGAUCGGCCUAGGGUAAAACUGGUGACUGGGGCUAAGUCGUA